GCAAAUACAACAUUCUAUUGUAGUCAGAGCAUCCGUUACUCAACAAAUCUGUAAGGAACUUUUCUUUCCACCUGCCAGGUAAUAAAACUGAGGCCCCUAAAUAUGAAAUGAUACAAUGAAUUAGUGUCAGAGCCAGAGCUAGUAGAUAGCUGUCUUGGUUUCCAUUUCAGUCUACCUUUUCCCUUGCCUGUGUUGAAGGGAAGCAUCUGAAGACUGCAGUAGUCCUUAGUUCUGAAUGCUCCGUAAGUCUGGGGAAAAGUCACAAAGCUUGAUUGAAAAGAGCAUGUGCAUACACUCUCAGCCUACUCCCACUGCAAGUCUUUACCUCACAAGGUGAUGAAUAAUAGAAAGGUUGUAACUGCAUAGAAGAAUCUUCCAUUUGGCUGGGGAGCUGGAGCUGCAGAGACAGAAACUGAUCUAUGUUUCUGACCCUACUUCUUGUUAGUUAUGUCUUUUUCACUUCAGAUGCUGAUCAAUAUUCAUUGAGCAUUUACUAUGUGCAAGGCACUCUGCUGGACCCUUUGAGAGAAAAUGAAACUCUACCCUCAAGAAGCUCAGAGUUAAGAUGUAUCUAUAUUCUAGAGAGACAGUGGGGUGUGUGUGUGUGUGUGUGUGUGUGUGUGUGUGUGUGUGUGUGUGUGUGUGUGUGUGUGUAUAAAACAUUCAAUUUAGAUUGAGGAUCUGGGUUCAGAUUCCACUCUUCUACUUCAUUUCCUCUGUGACUUUGGGAAAAUUGUUUGACCUCUCUGAGCCUCUGUUGGGCCACAGCUGUUCAUCGUCCAGUGUAUAACUGAAAAGUUGUUACCCUAAAAAAAAAAAAACUACAUUACCCAGAAGCCCACUGACUUCCUGUCAUUAUAUACUUCCUGUAGAGAGGGGAUAUUAGGCAAGGACGUGAAGGUCCUGCCUCUUGACUUCCUGUCCUGAGCUUGGUGGUGGUAAGGCUUGCAUUUGAACUGGCUGACCAGCCACAGGCAUGUAGUUUUUAUUUUGUGUCCUCUUUAUUCUUUGAUUUCUAAUGAUCUUUAAUAAACCUCCUAAAUUAUAACA
rnacentral:lncRNA from 1 species